UACAGAGGUCUCAAGCGUUGUUCGGAUUCAUUGGGCGUAAAGGGUGCGUAGGCGGCCAACUAAGUCGGAUGUGAAAUCCCCAGGCUUAACCUGGGAACUGCAUCCGAUACUGGAUGGCUUGAAUCCGGGAGAGGGAUGCAGAAUUCCAGGUGUAGCGGUGAAAUGCGUAGAUAUCUGGAGGAAUACCGGUGGCGAAGGCGGCAUCCUGGACCGGCAUUGACGCUGAUGAGCGAAAGCUAGGGGAGCAAACGGG
rnacentral:rRNA from 1 species